rnacentral:rRNA from 1 species
CCUACGGGUGGCAGCAGUGGGGAAUAUUGCACAAUGGGGGGAACCCUGAUGCAGCGACGCCGCGUGGGUGCAGGAGUCCUUCGGUACGUAAAGCCCUAUCAGCAUGAAAGAAAAUGACGGUACCUGACUAAGAAGCCCCGGCUAACUACGUGCCAGACGCCGCGGUAAUACGUCGGGGGCAAGCGUUAUCCGGAUUUACUGUGUGUAAAGGGAGCGUAGACGGCAGUACAAGUCCGUAGUGAAAGCCCGGGGCUCAACCCUGGGACUGCUCUUGAAACUGUAAAUCUGGAGUGCGGGAGGGGCAAGCGGAAUUCCUGGUGUAGCGGUGAAAUGCGUAGAUAUCAGGAGGAACACCGGCGGCGAAGGCGGCCUGCUGGACCGUAACUGACGUUGAGGCUCGAAAGCGUGGGGAGCAAACAGGAUUAGAUACCCCUGUAGUC